ACGGCUUUUCAUGACGAAGUGGUUUUCGUGUCCGAGAAGACAGGAAGAUGCAACACCGUGGCAAAGGUCUUUAUUGAUCAGGUAGCUAACGUUAGAUGAGAUCACCAUAAAAUAAAUCACAUUAUCAAUUGAUCAAAUCACAUCAACAAUCAUCAAUUGAUCACCAGUCAGUGUAUGUGAAUCACUGAUAAUAAAACACCUUCCUCCACAUGUGCUGGGAUUGGCUGCCAAUUUGGAUAGACAACCUAUGAAACAUAGUACUUUAGCCAACAUCUACUGUAAAAGUGUACUGUUAGUUUUUAAUCCAGGCGUUAUCCCCGUAGGCUCAACGUCUGGCCCUACAGAGGGAGAUAGACAAGGAGUCCCAGUCCACGGUUUCGGUCAGAUCGCUGAUGGUCCAAGCCGACACAGGCAACAGGAUGGUUACCAUGAAGAAGACGAACAAGAAGAGUGGGAAGGACACCCACGCUGAGGAAGAGAUCUCAGAAAACACUUCCAUAAUCCAGGGGAAUAACGAAGGAGUGAAGAAGAAAAAGAAGACGAAAGGAGAGACUCUGGUAGAAGAAGAGCAGGUGUCAUCCAAUGGGGAAGGGGGGAAUACGGAAGGAGAGCAGGAGAAACAGAAAGGGAAGAAGAAGAAGUUGUCGUCUGGGACCAACGCUGAGGAAGCCAUGACUAAUGGAAAUGACGGAGGGUGCGGCCAGAAGAAGAAAAAGCAGAAAGGUGUUAACACUGUCAAAACGGAGGUAGAGACAGAACAGAGUGAAUUAAAGGACGAGAAAGGAGUAGUGGAAAAUGGGCCGAAGCAGAAAAAAAAGAAGCUCUCUCAGGCAGAAGAGACAGAGAUCAGCGUGGUCAAGGUAGAGGAAGGAGAGAUGAUAGAAAUAAAGAAAGGCAAGAAAAAGAAGGGAAAAACAGAGGAAGAAAAGAAAGUGAAAAAGAUCCCUAAAGCUGCUGAACCAACUGAGGAGAGUCAGGAGGGGGAGACGAAGAAGAAGGGUAAGAAGAGAGCAGUCUCUGAGAAAGGAGAGGCAGAGAAAGAAAUGGUAGUAAAGAAGAAGAAAGGAGAGACGAGAGAGAGCGGAGAGUCAGAGAAAGAAAUGGUAGUAAAGAAGAAGAAAGGAGAGACGAGAGAGAGCGGAGAGGCAGAGAAAGAAAUGGUAGUAAAGAAGAAGAAAGGAGAGACGAGAGAGAGCGGAGAGGCAGAGAAAGAAAUGGUAGUAAAGAAGAAGAAAGGAGAGACGAGAGAGAGCGGAGAGGCAGAGAAAGAAAUGGUAGUAAAGAAGAAGAAAGGAGCUGAGGCCACAGUAGCAGUACAGGAGGAGGAACAGAAUAACACCAAAAAGAAGAAACCCAAGUUCUCCAGCAGCGCUGCAGACACCACCAUGGAGACGGAAGGAAAGGAGGGCAAGAUGAAGAAAGAGAAGAGAAAGGCCUCUGCACUAACAGAGAAGGAGGAUGUGAUGGUGGUGGACAAGCGGAAGCCCAAACAUAUGAAAAGGGUGGAUACGAAAGGAGUAGUGGAACAGGCGGAGGACGGAGAGAGCAAGGGAAGGAAAAAGGUGAAGAAGAGCUCCUCUGAGGUAGAGGCAGAAAUGGAGGACAGCACCCCUCACAAGAAAGGGAAGAAGAUUAUGACGAAGGGGAAAAAGAAGAUAAAGGUGGAGAGCUGCACCCCUGAAGACCAGGAGAGGGACCAGACGGACGUGGUUUUCCUGUCAGAGACCAGGGGAAACACCUUCGAGAUCAAUAUUGAUCAGGUAGAUCGCUAA
rnacentral:lncRNA from 8 species